UGUGUCUCACCCCAGAGCAGCGUGCCCCUGCACCUCAAUGACAUCCAAGGAGUUGAAGUAGGUGACAAACAGAAUAAGGAUGAAAGAAGCAACCGUUACCAAACGACAGAGGCAAACGGCUCCACUUGAUUUCCUCGGUGCGGCUUCUUCGUCCAUACGAGUCCACGAACACUCCAAACUCUGCCAUAGAAACAACCCCACUUCAGCAGAGAGUUUCCCAGCAGCUUCUGAAAGAACAGAGAGAGGUGAGGGGUCAGCUGGAUCACGACCUCCACGUGACCUUGGGUAGGAGGGAACAGAGGAGCAGGACGGGAGGGGCUGGAUGGCUGGAGGACUGGGUUCAGAGUCACAGUGUCAGACGUGGGACCAAGUCACAAGCGGUCUUCAGCUGUUUUAUUCAGAGGCUCUACAGUACCAAAGAGAUGAGGCUUUCAUAUGUAAUAAAGUAAUUUUGUAUAACUUGUCAGCAUUAAAGGGAAUAAAAGAUACUUUUAAUAAACGUGUGCAACUCCUACGAAGCUGAGAACAAGAUUUUACAUUUGAAAUGAAUAAAUGAAGUAAAUAUUUUACCAGUGGUCAUGUACAGAUUGCAAAAAUGUAAUGUUUACACAAAUGAUCAGAGUGAAAGGAUCAAAGUCUACAAGCUCUACUGCGUUUAAACAAGAGUCAUUAUUAACACUGUAAUCAGCUUCACCGCCGGCUUCCUCAUUACUGAAUCAGUCUUCCAGCUCAUACGCUGCUGAUGCCUUCUAUACAUAUACAACAGAAUUACAUCAGAUACAUACAGCUGCAAGCUGACAUGAGAGGGUCAAGCAGAUUAGGACAGUUGCCAUAGCAACUUAAACUAUUAAUAUUAUUAUAAUAAUAAUUGAGUUUGAUAGGAAUUUGAACUUCUUAAGGGAUUGGGUAGAAAUACAGUAGCAAGCUUUAGGCCUCACUCGCCUGUGUACCCAAUCGGAUCUGUGCUGAUUUAUAUGGAUGACAGAUGUACUAAGCUCAUGUCCAUCACAUUCAUAGUGCUUAUACAGUUUCAGGGAUUGGUCCAUAAAUAGAGUAAAUUAUGAAGAAUGAGCAUUGCCAUUUACAGAGUCAGGCAUAAAGUGACUUCAGAUGCACUCCAUGACUGACACGUGAGGUUUCACUCGUUGUUUCACUCAUAUCAACCUGAAUUUACAAGUUAAUGAGAAUGAGAAAAAAUUACUUAGACAACAUUAGUUUGAAGUAAUUUAAAGUAAAGGUUUAAUUCAACUGUGUGACACCUUGUAUGCAAUUUACAGGCAUUUGGGGCAAUAGACAGUAUUUCAGCAAUUUUGGUGCAGCUAGGAUAUCCAGACAGCAGAUAAUGGCUUUUCAGUUCAAGACUUGUGUUGUGUUUACCAGUUUUUGUUUAUGAAUGCAGAUAAGUGUUUAAUAAGUUCAUAAAAAGCUAAAAUGUCAUUGAAAAAAAAAAGCUAAUGAUUCCAAGGUUGUAUUUCAGCAAAUACAGUCCCUCGUUUUUCCUCCACACUGACUCUUUACCAGCAUGCAGCCAAAACAUGUUCGGAUUUGACUGGUCAGAGAAUUCUCACUACAAACAGGUUCCAGGUUCCAGUGCACAAACCUUCUCCUUCACCUACAGAUUCUAUAGAUUCUUAUGUUGUUGUUGUUUUUAAAAGAUUUGUACAAAUAUGACUUGCGUCUCUUGGUUAAGUCAAGUGACUUGAGUCCCAGCCUCAGAAGAGUGUGCAGAAAGGGCAGAGGUAACAACGCAUACAAGUACACAAACAGGUAAAACUCGGCAGUGCGAUCCCUGCUCCUCCGGACAGGACAGCUGCAGAGAUUCAACCCAAAGAUGAUCAGACAUCUUGGCGAGUAUUUGUGUACUGUGGUUAGAAAAAAGGACAUUGGAGACAGGGAAGAAUAUUUGAGAGUUUGUACAGGAUACAGCAAAGGAGAGUGAAAGUGAGAAGUGGUCACAGCAAGUGAAGUGACAGCAGGGUGGGGGGCAGGUGACAGCCAACAAAAUGACAGACUCAUGCACUACAGCGUGCCUCGUGUAGGAUGUGCAGCGCUCGUGUGUGUCAGAAUGUCUCAUGUCUAACUGUUUACCUGGACCAGUGGAGACAGAACCAUUUGUCUUUUGGACACAGCAGCCUAUGUGUGCAGUGACACAUGGGUAGGAAUAGAGCAAAUCGACAAAACACGCCCAUAUGCCGGACAUACAAUGUGUCACGAUGAAAAAGCAACAAACACAGGCGAGAGAGACAAAGAGAGAGGAGAGAAAGAGAAAAGAAGAGAGGAGAAAGGGACAAUUAAUGACGCACAUAAGCGAAACUACCCGUUAAACUUUAAACUCGAAGCCUACGUCUUAAAUAGACUACGGAGGGGAAAUCUGCUCAUGGUGAAUAGCACCAACACAGUCAAAUAUCAAGUUUAUGACCACAGACGCGACAGCUGUGACCACGGCCGGAUAUGAAUUGAGUCAGCAGACCUUAAAGACAGAGAGCGAGCUGCCCCGGGUUGCGUUCGCCUGCUCCAGAGA